rnacentral:rRNA from 1 species
AUACGUAGGUGACAAGCGUUAUCCGGAUUUACUGGGCGUAAAGGGCGUGUAGGCGGUCUUGCAAGUCAGAAGUGAAAUUCCUGAGCUCAACUCGGGCGCUGCUUCUGAAACUGCAGGACUUGAGUGCUGGAGGGGAUAGCGGAAUUCCUAGUGGAGCGGUAAAAUGCGCAGAUAUUAGGAAGAACACCGGUGGCGAAGGCGGUUAUCUGGACAGAAACUGACGCUGAGGCGCGAAAGAGUGGGGAGCAAACAGGAUUAGAUACCCUGGGAGUCCACGCCGUAAACGAGGAAUACUAGGUGUAGGGGGUAUCGACUCCCUCUGUGCCGCAGUUAACACAAUAAGUAUUCCGCCUGGGGAGUACGGCCGCAAGGUUGAAACUCAAAGGAAUUGACGGGG